GGCCCGUUCGUCUAGUGGUUAGGACUCAUGGUUUUCAUCCAUGCAACAGGGGUUCGAUCCCCCUACGGGCUG
rnacentral:tRNA from 2 species